CCUCGAAUCGGGUCAGCACAAUUACUCGACUACGUAAAAUAACUAUUUAUUGUCAUUUUUGCAUUAGAAAAUUCCGUUCAUACUUACUGGGAACUAAAAUUUUUGUUUUUCCGAUCAUGCAACACCAAAAUACACGAUGAGCAAGAAGGAAGCAAAGUCGAGAUUAAUAGGGUGGAUUAUUUCCCUUCAGGAGUUCAACCUUGAAAUUAAGGAUAAAAAAGGAAGAGAAAACUUGGUGGUUGAUCAUCUCAGCCGUUUGUCAACGUCACCGAUCAAAUUGCCCAUUCGAGAAUAAUUUCCAUAAGAGAAUUUGAUAGAGGUUUGGUACUCUGAGAGAGAUCAUUUGCGAUAGAGGAAUGCAUUUUAUCAAUCGGAUUGUUGAUGCGUUGAUGAAAAAAUACGGUGUUACUCAACGAAUCGCGACGACCUAUCAUCCGUAGACUAACGGACAAGCGGAGAUGUCAAAUUGGGAAAUUAAAUCCAUCAUUGAGAAGAUCGUCAAAUCAAAUUGGAAGGAUCGGAGCUUGAAGUUAGUUGAUGCUUUGUGGGCGUAUUGGACGACCUAUAAGGGACCUAUCGACAUGUCUUAUCGACUUGUUUUCGACAAAUCUUUCCACUUGCCGGUCGAGCUUGAGCGUAAGGCGUAUUGGGUCAUUAAGGAAUGUAACAUGGAGAUGAGUGUUGUAGACAAAGCAUGGAAAUUACACAUCCAAGAGAUCGCUGAAAAACAUACGAUAGCGUACAACACUAUAAAAAUGAAGGAAAGCUUAAAUCUAAGUGGAUUGGACCUUUGACGAUAAUCGAUGUUUUUCCUCAUGGAGCCAUGGAAGUUGAAGAUAGUUCAGGUGCACCAAUCAGACUAAUUGAGGAAAUAAAUUUGGAAAAACUGAGAAUUUGAAAAAUAAAGGUCGUCGAGCUUAAAUGACGUUAAACAAAGUGCUUGU